UCUGGAUAUUGAUUUUCUUCCAAUCCAUCGUCAAAACGAACUGAUUGAAACAGAUUGCUUACGGAAGGAAGCAAGAAAUUCCUGUCUAGGCACACAUAAUGCGGCAGGAUACUUCCGAAUGGAAUUUCAAGUGCUUGUUGUAGGGUGGCGGUGGUGUCUCGUAAUUUACACUUACCUUGUACGCUCGGGAUUUUCCUCGUGCAAUGCUGCUGCUGCUGCUGUUGCUGCUAGCUCGAGAUGGAAAUUUGAUACAUUUUCCACUAUGCUCAGCAUCUCAGCUAGUACGACGAUGCUACUGCUGCUGCACGACCGGUGAAAGCAACACCAUCGCCACCACCACCAGGCAGUGCUAGUAGCAGCAUAGUUCCACUGUACAUGGCGCGGCGAAACUAGGGCAAAAGGAAGCUGUUAUGCAAAUUGAAUUCCAACGUCUAGCCUCUCUUGGAAGCCAGGUUGCUUUAUGGUACAUUCCGGCUUCGCUUUCAUUCCGCUCACCCACUCCGGAGCCCGCCAGUACAAACACACGCGCCGAACAAUGCUAACAAGCGUAAGCCGUCUUCUCGAUCAUCGGUGAGGAUGAACAAAGGAGCUUCCCUUUUUUUUUAAAGCUCUGCUCCACAAUAGUCAAAGCCGAGGAGGAGCCGGUUUUUGAAAUGCAACCAGGUUAAAUUAAUAAGCAUA